CCUACGGGCGGCAGCAGUGGGGAAUAUUGCACAAUGGGGGAAACCCUGAUGCAGCAACGCCGCGUGAGUGAAGAAGGUUUUAGGAUUGUAAAGCUCUGUUAGCAGGGAAGAGGAAGGACGGUAGCUGCAGAGGAAGCCACGGCUAACUACGUGCCAGCAGCCGCGGUAAUACGGAGGGGGCAAGCGUUGUUCGGAAUAACUGGGCGUAAAGGAUGCGUAGGGGGUUAAAGAAGUUAUAUGUUAAAUAUAUAGGCUUAACCUGUAGAAAGCAUAUAAAACUGGUUAACUAGAGUGCAGGAGAGGUAAGUGGAAUUCGUAGUGUAGCGGUGAAAUGCGUAGAGAUUAGGAAGAACACCAGUUGCGAAGGCGACUUACUGGACUGUAACUGACGCUGAGGCACGAGAGCAUGGGUAGCAAACAGGAUUAGAUACCCGAGUAGUC
rnacentral:rRNA from 1 species